ACGGGCACAUCACGUUGAAACACCGCUUCCCGCACGACUCCCUGAAGUUAAGCAACGUCGAGCCUGGUCAGUACCUAGAUGGGUGACCUCUUGAGAAUAGCAGGUGUUGUAAG